GACGAACGCUGGCGGCGUGCCUAAUACAUGCAAGUAGAACGCUGAAGGAGGAGCUUGCUUCUCUGGAUGAGUUGCGAACGGGUGAGUAACGCGUAGGUAACCUGCCUGGUAGCGGGGGAUAACUAUUGGAAACGAUAGCUAAUACCGCAUAAUAUUGACUAUUGCAUGAUAGUCAGUUGAAAGGUGCAACUGCACCACUACCAGAUGGACCUGCGUUGUAUUAGCUAGUUGGUGGGGUAACGGCUCACCAAGGCGACGAUACAUAGCCGACCUGAGAGGGUGAUCGGCCACACUGGGACUGAGACACGGCCCAGACUCCUACGGGAGGCAGCAGUAGGGAAUCUUCGGCAAUGGACGGAAGUCUGACCGAGCAACGCCGCGUGAGUGAAGAAGGUUUUCGGAUCGUAAAGCUCUGUUGUAAGAGAAGAACGAGUGUGAGAGUGGAAAGCUCACACUGUGACGGUAUCUUACCAGAAAGGGACGGCUAACUACGCG
rnacentral:rRNA from 1 species